rnacentral:rRNA from 1 species
AGACAGUUCGGUCCCUAUCUGUGGUGGGCGCUAGUAAAUUGAGUGGACAUGACCUUAGUACGAGAGGACCGGGUUGUACGUACCGCUGGUGUAUCUGUUAUGCCGCCAGGUGUAAUGCAGAGUAGCUAUGUACGGCAAGGAUAAACGCUGAAAGCAUCUAAGCGUGAAACCUUCCACAAGAUGAGUUUACUUUUAAGGGUCGUCGAAGACUACGACGUUGAUAGGCUAUAGGUGUAAAAAUGGUAACAUUAAAGCCAAGUAGUACUAAUUGCCCGUAAGCUUUAUUUUUUUA